GCCCCUGUAGUCUAGUCUGGAUAGGACGCGAGAUUGCGGAUCUUGUAACCCGAGUUCAAAUCUCGGCAGGGGCG
rnacentral:tRNA from 1 species